AGAAGCGGAAACAGGAGCAGCAGCAGCAGCAGCAGCGGCAGGAGAGGCACACAGGAGCCAGAUCCUAAAGGCUUUGUAUGCCACAUUAGGAAAGAAUUUGGAAUACAGCUUCUGUUUGGAAAACAUUUUCUGUAACCAGCCCGACAGUAAGUAUCUUUAGGCCGCACGGUCUCUGUUACAGCUGCUCAACUCUGCCAUCAUAGGGAGAGCAGCCAUAGAUAAUACAUAAGUGAACAGACAUGACUCUGUUGCAUUAAAACUUAUUUAUGAGCCUGACAUGUGAAUUUCAUGUGAUUUUCAGGUUUCAUAAAAUCUUCUUUUGAUGUUUUUCCUCCCAUUUAAAAAUGUGAGAACUGUUCUAGCCCGUGGGCUGCAUAUAGACAGGGGGUGGCAGUAGUCUGCUAAGCCCUUCUAUGAUGUACACACAGGACCUCAAGGUGACAAGUCAGCUAGCUGAUCAGUUAAAAAAUGAAGCAGGGCAUUUUCCUACAGAUCUUUGGAAGUACUGACUGUCUUCUGGCUAUUUCCAGCUAAAUAACAAAUGCACAUGGGCCUAAAUUUUGUCAUUAGCUUGUUUGUAAUACUUACAAUGAAAUGGUAUGCUAAUUCAAAGGAAUAAAAAGCUUAUUUCAGGCCACUGUGGUGAAAUGACAUUUACCUAAUGCAGAUAUAAAUUUUGUGUUAAUUAGUGAGCACUUGACACUGAUGUAAUUUGAUUAGUGUGGCAAAGUCAGUCUUAAACUUGCUCCCUAGUACUAACAGAAUAUGUCUUUGAAUUAAGAAAAUUAGGGCUAAGUGACAAAAAGUACCAGAUAAUAAGAAACCAAGUCUGUACCAUUUAUAAUCAUCUGUUAUAAUAAAGAUAAUACUAAUGGCCUUAUCAUGUCAUUAUAAGAAGCAUGAAACAGGGCACUUCACACGUCGCAGUUUAGGUGACCUCACUGUCUCAGUUCCGAUUUGAUCUCAAGUCGGAUUCUAAAGUCUUCAAACUACUGGAAACCUCAUAUGUUUAAUUUGGAACUAUUUUCAAGCAAGAACUCUAAUAACAUUCCAGUUUUGAAGAAAUACUGUAUAUCACUUUUACUGACUUGUACAAAUGUUUUAUUUCAAAAAAAAACAAAACAACAAUCUAAGAGAAAAGUAGAGUAUUAACCAUUUGAAAUCUUAAAACCCGUGUUUUGGAUCUUUGAUGUGGCUGACUCUUCAUGAAUAAUUCUAGUUCUGUGAUUUGGAGAUGUUACUUAACUUUUCUUAGGAACAAAAAACUGAUGUCAAAAAGGAUUGUUUUGAAGGUUAAAUGAGGUGUUUGUAAAUAUAAUUACAUAAUUAUAUAGUACAGGCUCCAUCAAUGCUAGCUAUCAUUAACUUGAAAUGUCAUUACAAUCACCAUUUCAGUUUGUCUCUAAAUGUCCCACCAUAACACAGUUCUCUCGACUUUAAAAUACUUUCCUAUAAUUCUAGAACCAAAAGGAUCUAGAAAUUGCUCAGUCCAAUACUCUCAUUUUAUAAAUGGAUUAACUGACCAGAGUCACACAGGGAGAUAGUAGAGGCUGGUGUAAAAAGCGAGGGCUCUGGAGUCAGACAUGCGUGGUUCCGAAUCCUCAUUCCACCAGCUUACUGUGUCAAUCCAGGCACGUUACUUUCACAAGACCUCAAUUUCCUAAUUUAUAAAACGAUGAAAAAUGAGACAAUGCUCAUAAAGUCUGAGCACAGUGCCUAACAGUUGAUUUUUAAAAAAUCAACAAGUGUUCACUACUAUUAUUGAUCCUCAUCUUCUUAUUACGAAAUGGUAUUUCUUCCCUUUCUUUUUAGGAUGUAUAAUUGCUCCAGUGUUCAUUAUGAAUGUGACUUUUAUUUAAUUCAUACUGGCCAGACUAUAGCAGACUAUAUGAAAUAUUUAUUUUCCACAUCAGGCCAACUCUACCUCUCCUCCCUUUUUGUAUAUGACUCCUUUGUUAGUACAUCCCUCAAUUUAAAAUUACUUUGCAGUCUUCAAAUGCUUUCAUCUCUCCAACUCUGCUCCAUUGCUCCUUGGAACACAUAUGUGAAAAUCACAUGCUAAGUAUGUUUGCAAAAUACUUUGUUAAAAGAUUACACAGUAAGGAAUCAAAGAUGGUUUUUUGGGUUUCCUUUUUUUUUUUUUUUUUUUUUUUGAGAUUCCAGGCAGUUGCAGGCCAAUGAAAGUCACAGAAAGCACCCUUCCAAUUCAUUUGCUUCAGGAGGCUAAGGAAAUAACCUAUUUCCUCUUCCCUCUUUUCUAUCUGGUUUUUCUGAUGUGUUCCCAGAUCCUCAAAGAAAGAUUCAGAGAUCCAUGAAAUCUUAAUAUGCCUGUUUGAAGCCAGGAAAAAUAAAUAACAGUAUGCCAGUAUUUCAGACUGGGAAGAGAGUGUAUCAAUACUUGAGGGGGAAUUUGGUUCAGUCCUGAAAAUUACUAAGUCUUUCUUCCCUACUUAACAGGGAAGUAAUGUCAAAUGGUUGAAAUUUGCACGGAAUUCUACUAGCCUGGAGGGUGCUCCUGAAGUAAUCUUACAAACUUGGCAAUUAGUCCAGCAGCCUAAAUCUUUGUCUCUUGGUAGAUGAGUGGCAGCAAUUUUUGUUUUUUCCUACAGAACUUGUACUUGACAUCAGUUAGCCUAACUCAGACCCUGACCUUGCCUUUGUAUUUGGGGAAGAGUCUGAUCUUCAAGAUGGACCCAACCUCAAUAGAAACAAAGUAUGUGUGAAAGUUCUUACCCAACCCUUUUCUUAGUGUGUUCUAUUUCAUCUUUAAUGCAGAUCUUUAAUCUCAGACGUUCAUCAGAAAGGGGUAACAUCAAAUACUCCAAAUCUGAGCAACAUUCAACUCAUUUGUUGUUGUUCUGGGGUUUUGUUUUGGUUUUGGUUGAGACAGAGGUAAAAAGCCCAGAAAAGCCAUAGAGAGAAUUUUAAAUGCUGCUCUCCCACUAAUGGUUAUACCUUUUUUAUCAGCUUCUUCAUCUGAUUGGAUUAGAUUUAAAAUUUUCCUUUAGCCUUGGAUAUCUGACAAGAUUCUUUCAGUACAGUGAGACUUUCUCCAAGAAAAGGAAUCCACUUGAUUGGAUCAGAAACCACAACCUGCCUCUGGAAGUUAAACCUUUCAGUAGGUCAGGUCAUGAAUCAGGGGUGGUGGCAUUUUAUGAACCUUGCUUGGAUUCUUUGAUCUUGCCCCGUGACCCACACAGACCUGGUAAGGAGCUUCUUCUCAUUGACGGGGAUAGGGGAGUGGACUCUAUCUUCCACUUCUCUUGUCUUUCCUUCUCUCCACCUUGCCUCCUCUGCAUUUAACACAGUCUGCAGCACACAAACCAGGAGCAUGUACAGUGGUGUGCUCUUGCUCCCUAGAAUGUUUCACGGCUUCCAAGGCACUUUAUCUUUCUCCCUCUCUAAGUAUUCUGAAUGUGGCAUUUUGACCACUCAAUAUAGUUUAGAGACCCAUUGUAUAAGCCCGGCACAAACAAUCUAUAUUCUUACCAUUUAUUCCAAUGUUAGGGAAUCUUCUGAAAGAAAACAGAAUUUUGGUUAAGUUUGACCAGGGCAGUAGAUUAUAGCUCACAUGGCCACAGACAGUGAGACUACCAUUAAGAUUUGGUAGAUGCCCCAAGACCCAGGUCAAGCAACCAUAAUUAUCUGUCAAGUUCUCACCUAUACUCAAGUAGUUUUGGAAUGGUGCCUUCAGUUACGGACUUAACACUAGAUUUGAAACUUUUGACCUGGUUGUGUUUAAAAUUACCAAGUGAACAGGAAUUUGUUUUUUUCUGCUGGCAUUCUGUCUUGUAAAAAUAAGAAGAAGGGAAGGUAAUUAUAGGUACCUAACAUCAAAUUUAGUAAAAAUCACUGGAAAAAACCAGAAGUGUGAUUUAAUGAUCUGAGAAAUUAGGCAAGUGUCAAGUCUGAAGAAUUUUAAAAUGGUUAUAGGUCAAAGCAUUAAAAACUUCUUUGGGGACAGAGUGGCUAUAAGGAGAACACGGUGAGGUAUCUGCCAGGGGUUAAUUGCAACCCUGCAUGAAAAGCAGUUAACAAGUGAGAAUUAGAACACCCAAGAGGAAAAGAAAAAUGUUUCCAGUGCCAUGAGAAAUAAACAACAAAGAAGAAAUAUUUCCUUUGGCUACCACUACCUCCUUUUCAAAAGCUCAGAGGAGCUAUGGGGAAUGCCAAGGACUGGUUUUCUCUCAACUCCCUCUGAAACAUUUGUCUUCAUUACCACUCUUUUUAAUCAGGGCUCCUUCAUGAGUGUUUCUGCUCAGCCCCUAAGGGGCAGCUCUGGUCUGCGAUAAAUCAGAAUCCACACCGCAAGUCACUAAUCAGCACUCUCAGGGAAAGAAAAACAGAGAAGUGCAGACCACUACAGGCUGCAAAGGCCUGGAGGCUCACAGACCUCAAGGAAGAAAGGCCUUUAUGGAGAAAUAAAUUAAUGAAGAAGGAAGGGACCGAUGUUUAGGCUUUAUUUUAAAAUCUCAAAUGCAAAUUGUUCAUACUUAAUUAUGAGUUUGGAAUAUAAUUUCAUUUUAAGCGUAUAAAAUAUAUUAUGAAUUUAUUUAACGAAUUGUAAUUUAUACCCCUGGCUUAAUAAUUUUCAUACCUAAUUCAAAACUUAAUAAGCCCAAGGCAGAGGAACAGAGGAUAAAUUAAGAUAAUUAAAACUAUCAAAGUCAGGGAACCCUCUGUCAUACCUGCUGUUUCAGUGAUGUCAUUAGGAAAUGAAACUUUCCAAGUAAGAACUCUCUAAUGUCUAUGAUACGAGUGUUAUUUUUGUUAUUUUACUUAAAUGGAAUUAUAAUCAUAAAAUUACAAACACAUAGUAUUUUUUUUCAUUUUGAAACUCUCUUAGAAAUAACCUAAGAAAAAGUUAAAUAGACUUGUUAAAGGUCAACCUAGCUAGGUAGUGGCAGAGUUUACUCUAGAACCUAGGUCUCCAACAUCUUUUUUUUUCCCCCUUUUUGAGACAGAGUCUUGCUUUGUCUGCCAGACUGGAGUGCAGUGGCGCAAUCUCGGCUCACUGCAACCUCCGCCUCCCAGGUUCAAGUGAUUCUCCCACCUCAGCCUCCCAAGUAGCUGGAAUUACGGGUGCCCGCCACCAGGCCAGGCUAAUUUUUAUAUCUUUAGCAGAGACGGGGUUUUGCAUGUUGGCCAGGCUUGUCUCGAACUCCCGACCUCAAGUGAUCAGCCCGCCUUGGCCUCCCAAAGUGCUGGGAUUACAGGUGUGAGGCACCGCUCCUGGCCAAGACCAAUAUUUCUUGACGCUGACUUCAGGAGCUAGAACAGAACUGGUUGGAGCCCAGCUAAACUAAAAAGGUCAGUUUGAUUAGAGUGGGUGUGCUCCUAGAGGGGAUGUACAAGAAGCAUAGCUAGACUUUUUAAAUCUCCAUUCAAACAUUUGAACUUCCUGGUGUAAAAUGGGAUACAACUGAAGAUUCUUGAGAACAGGGAUGACAGGAUAAAAAGUAUUUGAGGAAGAAGAUUCUCACCAUAUUACGUAACAUAAACUGGGGGAGGUGGCAGGGUUAGAGAGGCUUAUGUUUGUGGGACCGAUUUGGUUACUUCUGCAGUGUCCCAGGCAAGAGGUAAUUAAGAAUCGGUUUUGUGGUUAUUCUAAUGAUUGGGGUCUUGGGUUGUAUUGUGGUUCUUUUGGAUACGAGAAUUAAUAAGAAAAUUGUACAGAUGAAUUUCUCAUAAUUAAUUGGGAAGAUAUUUUGCCAGUUUCUAUGGUGCUCUGGGAUUUAGAAUUGAGAGAAAUACUUGUGGAAUUAUUAUUAAGUAUUAAUAAGCAUGAGACGUAUAAAAAAGUGUUUACAGUAAAUUUAAAAUUAGUCACAUAAACUCAGUUAAGGUGAAAGUGGGUCUUUUACACAGCCAAGGGCAGCAAAGCCUUCUAUGUUUACAGAGCCAAAAGGAUGCCGAAGGCCCUGGAAGUUGAAAAUCAAGACUGGCUGCUGUAAAGCAGACCAUCUCAGACGUAUUCUCAUUCCUGACAAAUACCCACCCACCAGCAGGACUGGGAGACACAUGGCAACCAGAGCAAGUUGUCAAAACUUAUCAUUAUAAAACGUCCAUCUUACAAAAGUACAACCUUUGCUCAGUGCAGUGUUUUCCUUAGAAGACAGCUCUUCUGAGAGCUAUAAAAAGGUGGUUAGAAUGGGUGAGGUUAGCUCUCGUAGUCUAAGCUAACAAUCAUGUUAAAAAUGUAAAGGUGAAUAAUGAUGGCAGAAUGUUUUACAAACAAACAACAACAACAACAAAGAAAUUCAUUAAUUAUGUUCCUCUACUUCAAAGAAAUUCAUAAUUUUUAGCACUGCUCUUUUGAGAAAAGAAAAUUGCCUGUAAGAUCUCUGGCCCUUCUCCUUUAAUUUCCUUUCUUACUCCAUACCCUCAGGUGGCUAGCCUAGUGCUACAUGGCCUAGGCUACACAUAAAGUUCACAGCUCUUUGCCUGAUCUCCUGAUCCUCUAUCAAAACAGCACUUUCAAAAGUGUUUCCUGUCUAGCUCUGCCCUUGCGUGAGCGUUUCCUUGGCUGGAUCAGCUGCCAAACUAAAUCUCUCUGUUAGAAAACUGCGGAGAACUCAAUAUAGCCCUGUCCCCCUCUCCACCUUAGGCCUGACAUCCGGAAGUGACUUAGGAAGUAAUUUAAUGGUUACCAAAUUUUGGGGAACUGAUUUAAAUUUUCUGUGCUAACCAUGUGUUUAGGAGAGACUACAUCACUAAUCAUCACUUGACCUUGUGACAGACCAAAAGUUGCCGAUUUUUUUUUCCUGGGGGAAAAAAUUCUACCAGCUAGCACGAUGAUGUAAAUGCAAAAUCAUGUUGUGAGACGACUGCCAAUAUGCUGGUUUCCAGAUGUUUGACAGGACGAUGCAGAAACAAUACAAAAGAGGGCUAACAGUUUCUGUCACAAACUCUGCUGGGUUACUUGCUUUCUCUCUCUCCAUACUUUUUUUAUUUUAUAAGUGCUGGGGAUUGUGUAUAGCAGUCAAACGAUUCAAACGAUUUGGGAUAGAGAAGAACGGAAGGUUUGUCCAUUGCUUGUUAACCUCUGUCUUUGAAAACACAGAACAUUCUCCAAAUCUAUUAUUAUUACUCUGUUGAGCAAUAACUGCAGGGUGAUUUGUCUGAAUGUAUAUCUACUGGUGUCCCACCUUUCACUUAAAUAAGCCUGUACAUCAAACAAAUAAGAAAGGAACUGGAAUGGAGCUCUGCAUAUUUCACUAAGUCUCUCCUCUGCAUCUCAGCCGUAGAUGAAAUCUGAUUUAAGUCAAAGCCUAACACGGCCUAGGCUGUCCUCAUUGCAUGGGCUUCAUCUUCAUGUACUCAUCCUUGACUCACACUAUUCCUGGUGGAAGGCUUCCUAAAAGAAAACCAGAUUGAGUUGUCAGGUUUACAGUAUCAAGGAAUCUCUAAAAUGAAUGGGUUCUUUAAAAGAAAAGCCAAACUUUGGGUAAUUACAUUCAAACUCCUUAAUCACAUUUUCUGAGCUCAAUGGGAAUUGUGGUGUUCUUUGCUGAAUGUCUUCCCCAAAGCCACACAAAUGCAAUACAGUCUUCCUUCAGAGGAAGGCAUCCAACAGAAUGACUCCUGCUUGGCAGAAUGUUAAUUUCAAGUAUGUACUCCUUAAGUUUUCUUUUUUCACACAGAAGCAGUAUGUAUGCAUUCGUGUGUAUAUGUAUUAUUUUUUUUUAUAUCACCCAACUAACUUUGUAGCCCCCUUCCUCCCUAUUCCACUCCCCCAAAAACAGAAAAACAGGAUAUAGAGGAUCUGAGGAGUAAUUUUCAAGCAUACAGUUUACCAAUGAUGACAGACAUUAUUGAAGUUUGGUAAUAUUUCCUUCUUUCCCACCUCUGGGCAUACAAGAUAGCUGUACUUCCCCAUCCUCUUAAAGUUCUAGCCUGGUAGUCUGCAACAGAACUUUCUACGAUGAUAAAAAUGUUCUAAACCUUGUACUGUCUAAUAUGAUAAUGUGGCUAGUGCAACUGAGAAAAUGAAUUAUACAUUUUAUCUUCAUUAUUUUAAAUCUAAAUUUAAAAAAAUACAGCUAGUGGCUAUUGUAUUGGACAGCACAAUUAUAGCUCAUGAGUUGUAAGCAGAAGUGACCACCAUGAGAUGUCCAGUGUCCCCUUAUCCCUGCUCACUCACACAUCACAUCAGUAAUAUAAAACCCUCACUUACACGAGAAAACACUCUUAUAUUUAUAAACCUAAUGGUUACCUAGAAUAACUCAGUGGUGAAGCCUUCGCUAACCUGGCUCCUUGAAUGGAGAUAACAUGGAAUAGAGACCCCUCAAUCUGCGACGGACAAUAUUCAGCAAUAAUUUAGCCAGAAAAGUCACUAAAUGUACAAGAAAGAAAAUAGAGAAGUACUGAUACUUGCGAAGACCAAAUAUUACCCAUGAAAAUGUCAAGAAGCUCCUACUGCAUGUGUGUAGCUGGUAGUGAAGUGGAAGAGAUGCAGCUGCUGAGAUGUAUCCUUUUUUUUCUCUCUUUUUUCUUUUGUUUAUGUUUCGAGAUGUAUCCUAAUUUAAAUGCAAUCUAAAACUUAAGUGCCUGUGACGAAGGGUGUAUAACCUUGGGCGUUCUACUACCCGCUUGGAAAAAUAACCCAGAAAGAAAUCUUAACACAUUUUGUAUUCUUGUUACCAUGUAAGACAUUCCUGUAUUCAAAGUAGUAAUGAUACGGUUGUAAUAUUUUUCCCACAAAGAAAAAUCCCCUAGUCGUGAAAGAGUUAAGAGAGACCAAAAUUAGACACAGUUCAUGUUAAAGGUUACAAGAAUAAUCAGUCAUUUGAAAAACACUACAUAAACAUUUUUCCGGAUGCAAUUUUCAGUCCAAGGAUACAUUUCCCAGUAGAAAUCAGCAGCUAAAAAGGAAAUCAUUUCGUCUCCAUAAGUGCCAAAUUGUAUCCUGAUUUUUCCUGGUCUGGCUCAACUUUCAAAACUAGUGGUUCAACUUCUGCAAUCUUUCACCCAAUGACUAUAUAAACACAUCUUUAUAAAACAGACAUAAUCCUUGGGUGGGCCAAUUUAUGUUGGAUUAUGAAAAUACUUAAAAUACAAAAUCAUAUAAUGACUAUUGUCCUUCGGUUUUUCACUAAAAGGAAAGAAAAACCUAUUUAACAUAGGCAGUGGUUCACGUGCGAUAACAUGACACAUAUACACUGCUCUUUUUUUCUAAUGUCUCUGAAAAUAAGUAUCACUGACAAUUCAGUAAAGGAUUGCCUCACAUUUUCUCAAGGUGAUAUGUAAAUUCAGAAUUUGCAAAUAUACUUCUGAUGUACCCACAUGCCACAACGCACACACAAUUCUAAUGAAUUAAACUGCUCACAACGGGCAAGGAAAAAUUCUCACCCUUGGAAGUAUUUUGGAUCUUCUGUAUUCGGUCAGAGGUUAUAGAAACAUUAGUUUUAAGGAUAAAGUAAUCUUAAGUAAAAAGCAAAAGAUUCAUUCACAAUUUAUUACUGCUUCCAAUUCACAUACAUUUCACAUUACUCAGAAUUCCCAAUAACACAAUUCAAGUAGAAUCUCAACUCCAUAGCUAGAAGAAAUCGUAAAUUUUAAAUCUUUGUGGAAAGGUAAACUCUGUUUUUUCACUUCUUCCUUGAAAUUCUACAGCUUUUAUAAGUCAACUACAAAAGGUAUCAUGAAAAGCCUAUCUUCAGCAUUUAGCAUGAGGAGGGGAAGAAUUUUAACUUUUCCUCUAAUGGAUAAAGUUACGUAAAAGAAGACAUUUUGGAAGUCUUUGGAGAAUGCAGUAUAAAUCAUAGCUGUAAGAUCUGGAAAAGUCUGGUUGAACAUUAAGAGAUUUCCACAUCUGUAUCUAUACAUUCCCAUCUUGGGAAUAGUGUAUGUCCAAAACCAUUCACAGAAAAAUGUUGUAAAGUACUCUGUUGGUGAGCAAAACUUAAGAGUUGCAAUCACAAACAUUUCAUUUUCAUCAUAGAUUAUUGAUAAUUACACAAUCAAAUAUCCAUAAAAUUAUAUUGAUAAAAAUUUUUUUUGUCAAUAUUCUAAAAGCCAUAACAAAGCAAUGAAUUUAAAAUAGCUUAUUUCUAGGAACUUUUUAUAGUUUAUAGCAUAACUCUAUGAAUAAUUUUCUGAUGCCUAGAUUAGUCCUUCAUCCUUGCUCUGAGAAAACAAAUAUGUCAUUGAAGCAAUAUGACCACACUAUAAGAAAGGACACAGAAUAAUGCACAUUUUCUUUCACAGGCUGAGAGAGGCUGAUGAAUGUUACACUUCUCUAAUUCACAAAAUUUAUCUGAAUACAAGGACAUAUUAGGAAAGCAUUUUCGUGUUCAAGUGAGUAGCUCUGCCCAAACCAGUAUGAAGUAUUUAAUUAAAUAUUUUCGUUUAGCUAUAAUGGCAACAUAAAACUUUUAAGUAUUUGCCAAAAUUAGAAAAUCUCUAGUUCUUCUGAAAAAUAUACACAUACCUAGACAUUCAAAACUAAAAAUUAAAGGUUGAUUAUUUAAAUCUAUCUUUUUAGUUCAAAUAUUUUGCAUUCCUUUCUGAUUUAAAACACUCUCCUAUGAAAGCCACCAUUAUUUAUAAGUGAAGAAAGAAAAGGGAAUUUGUCUUACAUCUCCCCACUCCUCACUUUGCCAUUGUCACCUGUAUCUAUUUCCAGGAAGCCAAUAUUCAUUAGGGUUAAUCUGCCUACUAAAUGAAUAAACAAAGGAUUUCUCUGUCACUAAGAGGCCAGGUGAGCCGAUAGCAUCUUCUAACACAGAAAAUCAUCUGUACCAUACAGCUCAGGAAAUUACCUGCUGCAAUCCCACACCUGGGAUCACUUGGCAGGCAGACCCAUAAUGCUGAGUAAUAUAUGGAAAAUGAACUAUAACCAUUUUUUCAAAGGGCUGACAAAUCUCUCAUAUUUCAAAACUGAAAAACAGUUUAAUAUGAUUAACUACAUAACUCACUAGGGAAAAAUAGUGAAAAAAUAUCAAGAAAUGCUUCCACAUUUUUCCCCUAAACAAUAACAGGGUAUGUAAGAAAUGAUGCCAAAAUACUAACAUGCAGUGAAAUAUGAAUAACUGGUACAAGAAUGCCAAUACUUCUAUGGAUCUCUACGAUCUUAAAAAUAAGAACAGUUCUACAAUAGAAUGUAGUUAACAAACUAAAUAAAAAGAUGCAUUGUUAUAUUAUAAUCCCUACUUUUAUAGACUGACAAAUUCAGAUCAAGUAAAAGCUAUAUCUUGGUGGCUCGAGAUACCAGGAAAAGAACCCAAGGGCAAUUAUUUGUUAAUAGAUUAAUGGUAUUAUCACUUCAUGUUUCAUUUUGUGGAGGAGAAUCCCAGGUUUUAUUGUCCUGUAGAAAUAAUUUUUCCAGCUAAAGAAGCCAAUAGGAAACCAUUGGUGUUAAAUAAACAAACACAAAAUGAGUAAAAGAAAUGAGAUCAAAGAUAUCUGACUUCCCUCCAAAUGUUAAAUAAUAAAAACAUAUAUAUGUAUAUAUAUAUAUCUCUCUCCUAGAUACAAGUUUGAAAUAACAUUUGAUAGCUGAAAACCAUGUAGUAUAAGCACAUAAAAGAACUGAUUUGAUUAGAACUGGUUUGAAGAUCAAUUUGAUUAGACACAUGAGACUAUGGCAACAAAACUCAUUCACAAAACAUGAAAACAAAUAGUGAUUAGUGGUCAUUCUUCUCUCAAAAUUAUGUUCAGUUCUACAGAAGGUCUUGGGUGUCACAGAGAAUGAAAUAAAACUAAAUAUGUCAGCAUAUAUGCCAAUGAGAAUCAACCAAUAUGCACAGGAUUUAUUUCUUUAUUCAACUUUUAAUAAUAUGUUUGCAGAGAAAAAGGAGCCAAACUAUUAAUACUGGGCAGAUUACGGAUCACUUUACAGAGGCACUACAAGUAGAGAAUUAAAAGACUUAGGUCUUCUGGGACUGAGUACCCCCACUCCCCCCCAAUAAAAAUUAAAAUAGGAAAAAAAAAAGACUUAGAAAAAGGGUUAGUCAACAUUUAAUGACUGCCCACUCCAUGUAAGGCCCCAUACCAAAUAGGGCUGGGUUUGCUCAAGGGUGAUAAAAAACAGAUAGGGUCUUUGUCUAUAGUAUAUAUUAUCAUUAUUAUUUUUGAAAAUCCUUUCUUAGCUUCACAGGGGUUCCCUGGUUGUUUUUAUACUGAAUAUGUCCGAGUUAUAUCAAAUACUACAAAACUAUUGAGAGGUGUGUCCAUCUGGGGGAACAGCGAUAUUGGCAGGGAAGCAGUGGAGGUGUGGGGCACCAGGUCACAUAUAUGCUGCACCUAAGGAAAUGUAGUGUAGAGAGAAAUUAAAGAAGACUUACCCAGUGGCUGGGUGUGGUGGAUCAUGCCUGUAAUCCUAGCACCUUGGGAGGCCAAGGUGGGUGGGUCACCUAAGGUCAGGAGUUGGAGACCAGCCUAGCCAACACAGUGAAACCCCGUCUCUACCAAAAGUACAAAAAAUCAGUUGGACAUGGUGGUGGGCGCCUGUAGUCCCAGCUACUUGGGAGGCUGAAGCAGGAGAAUCACUUAAACCAGGGAG
rnacentral:lncRNA from 1 species